rnacentral:rRNA from 1 species
AAAGACUGACGCUCAUGCACGAAAGCGUGGGGAUCAAACAGGAUUAGAUACCCUGGUAGUCCACGCUGUAAACGAUGAUCACUCGUUGUUGGCGAUAUACUGUCAGCGACUGAGCGAAAGCAUUAAGUGAUCCACCUGGGGAGUACGGCGGCAACGUUGAAACUCAAAGGAAUUGACGGGGGCCCGCACAAGCGGAGGAGCAUGUGGUUUAAUUCGAUGAUACGCGAGGAACCUUACCUGGGCUUAAAUGUAGGACGACGUUUCGUGAAAGCGGAAUUUCCUUCGGGACGUCUUACAAGGUGCUGCAUGGUUGUCGUCAGCUCGUGCCGUGAGGUGUCGGGUUAAGUCCCAUAACGAGCGCAACCCUUAUCAUUAGUUGCCAUCAGGUAAUGCUGGGAACUCUAAUGAAACUGCCUACGCAAGUAGUGAGGAAGGUGGGGAUGACGUCAAAUCAGCACGGCCCUUAUGUCCAGGGCGACACACGUGCUACAAUGGCCAGUACAGAGGGUUGCGAA